rnacentral:rRNA from 1 species
GACGAACGCUGGCGGCGUGCUUAACACAUGCAAGUCGAACGGAAAGGCCCCUUUGGGGGUACUCGAGUGGCGCACGGGUGAGUAACACGUGAGUAACCUGCCCUUGACUUCGGGAUAACUUCAGGAAACUGGGGCUAAUACCGGAUAGGAAUCCUUGCUGCAUGGUGGGGGUUGGAAAGCUUCGGCGGUUUUGGAUGGACUCGCGGCUUAUCAGCUUGUUGGUGGGGUAGUGGCUUACCAAGGCUUUGACGGGUAGCCGGCCUGAGAGGGCGACCGGCCACAUUGGGACUGAGAGACGGCCCAGACUCCUACGGGAGGCAGCAGUGGGGAAUAUUGAACAAUGGGCGGAAGCCUGAUGCAGCAACGCCGCGUGCGGGAUGACGGCCUUCGGGUUGUAAACCGCGUUCAGCAGGGGCGAAGCUUGUGGUGACGGUACCUGCAGAAGAAGCACCGGCUAACUACGUG